AAGUUAAAAAAACAAAUCCAUGAAAUAUUUAUGGGUUUUGCACGUAUCAGUCUAAUAAGAAUGCAAAUAUUGUGAAUGCUUUCUACUCAUACAGUACUGACAUUUACCAAAUAGAAUUCUGUUAUUUGACCUCCUUCUGUAAACAUUGACAUUGCACUCACAUUUAUAAUAGAUUUCUGUCUGUUUUACUGCAGUUGAAUGUUUCCACCGGGAAUGUUAUUAGUUAUUAUGGCUGAAAAUGCACCUGCACCAGCUGUGCGGCUAAACAUAAAGAAGGCACCAGCCAAAAUCCCCGAGUCUCUUAACAGACCUUUGCUGCAUUACUGCCAUGGAUCCAACAUCCAUCCUGAAACAGCAGGGAGGAAAACUUCUUCCAACACUUCAUUUCCAUAGAAAUGAGGAUCUGACUUCUCUUCUCGCUUUCCCUCAUAGCAAUAUUUACUGUUCCCUUCCUUGCAUCCUAAUCUUUAUCAUUUAUCCAUUAGCUAUAGAUCGUCUCAUGUUGCAUUAGUAAAAACUAUUGGAAAAAGAGGAUGAAGUCAAUCGAGUCAUAGGAACAUAGAAAUGUUAAGAAAAAGAUCAAUGCAAGCAGUUUAUUUAAAAGCAAAAAAGUACAAAGUGCAUGGGGAAAAGCAAGAACUUGGCCUAUUUUUUCAAACUUUAGAAUUAUACAUAAAAAUUACAUUGCCGAGAUGCUCUCUAAGAUCAGAAAUAUACCCCCCCCCUCAAUUUUUCAUUUAAUUAAGCUCUUGAAUAGUUAUAUUUUUGGAAUUCUGUGAAUGGUUGGGACUGGGACAGUACUUGGGUCAAUUUAGAGUAAAAAUGCUAAGAACAGUUUAUGCAAUAGCUCAAGCUGGAGGAACUAGUAAAGCACUAACCCAAAAUAUGAAUUUAAAAAAUCUUUCAUAGAUAGUGUCUCUUUGAGUCAAUAAGGAUAUUUAUAGACACUAACAUGUUUUUAUUAUACUACCAACUGGCCCGAAUAUUUUUGAAUAAAAUGACUCAAAGAGGUUAUUUUUGAUGUUAUGUAUCCAGUAGUCAACUUCAUUGUAUUUGAUUAUUUUUGAAUUUUUUACUUUAAGGAGAUUUAUCAAUCUCAUAUGAUAGGCUCAAUCUUGACUUUGUUGACACUUCUGUGGGUUAGGUUAAAAUGAACAUUCCAUUUUUCUGAUAAUCACUGAAUCAUUUUUUGUUGCUUUUAUUUUUUGGAGAGGGUCAUGGAGCAGAUAUGACUAUUAGUUGACCCAUGAACUGGACCAGGCAAAUUAGAGGCUCCUCAUCCCCUCCCCUGUCCUUGGAUGGGUAUUCCACUUGUCUUGCCUGCACUAACAUCUGUCUCAAGAACUCAGCCUUGAGACAGUAAGAUGUUGUUGAGACCAGCUGGAUGGCAUAUAGGACUGCACCCAGUUAAGUCUUCAAUAUAAAAGUUUUUUGGGGGCCACACCCAUGGCAUAUGGAAGUUCCCAGGCUAGGCGUCCAAUCAGAGCUGCAGCUGCUGGCCUAUGCCACAGCCACAGUAAUGCCAGAUCUGACCUUCAUCCGUAACCUACACGGUAGUUCACUGCAAUGCAUCUGUAACCCACUGAGCAGAGCCAGGGAUAGAAACCACAUCCUCAUGGAUACUGGUCGGGUUUGUUACAGCUGAGCCACAAAGGGAACUCCUAUAUAAACUUUUAAGAUUACAGUGGGCAGGUGUAGAGAUCUGCUUGCUUUGCAGAUGCCCAAGACAAGCUUCGCAUAUAUGUUCUCUUGCUUUUAAACCUGCCGCCUACCAAUUGGGGUGCUCUCUGCUUCUUUCUUUGGUCUCUCCUUGCCCUCCACCUACAGAGGCCAGCUUCAGAUUUCACCCAGAAGCUCCCAAGUGUGUGAACCAACAUUAUUCCUGCUCACAAAAUUAUAUUCUCAUGUUUCAUUUUGUUUGCAUUGCCUCCCAAAAAUUUAUUCAUGACUUUUUGAAAAUCGGUGGUAACAAAUACAUAGAUGCUAGUUUUUAGUCAAAACUUUAAUUAGUAUCAUUUAUUCAGUAGUCUUUAAUCUAGCUAAUAUGCUUUAAACACUAUGCUCCUGGAUCAUAUUAGGCAUUGGAGAAAUAAUCCCUGCUAUUAAGAAAAUUCAAAUGCAAUAGGGAUGAUAGAUAAGCAGAAAUGUACUUUAAGUGAGGGAACUUUUUUGUUUGUUAGUUGAAGGUCUGUGAUUGAAGAGAAUAAAAUUUGAUUAGAGGAAACAGCAUAUGCAAAGGCCCAGAUAUAGUUUAUAAUAAUAAUGAUGAAUAGUUUUAUUUUCAUCCUUACAACAGAGUUUUUCAUACCACACUGUAAACCUCACACCUGGAACUCUGAAGAGUUUUGCAAAAUUUACAAAGCUAUAAAAAGUAUGAAAGGUGGUUAUUCUAAAUUAGGAGAAUUAUGUGUGUGCAUGUGUGUGUGGACAUGUGCACAUUAAUACCUGCGUUUUGUUUGAAGGUGCUUUGAAAAAAUGCAAAGGGGCAAGUCCUGUAACUUAUUUUCCUAAAAUCAUUUCCAAAGCCAUUUUUGCCAUCAUGAAACCAAAAUCAAGAACAAGGAUAUCUCUAUCUUCCAGACAUUUUCAGUACUAUAAGCUUCUACACUCCCCAGUUUUUCUGCUUCUUGUAGUCAAUGCUUGUAUUUGUUUCUUGUUUUUGUUUUGCUUUUUAGUGCCGCACCCGAGACAUAUGGAAGUUCCCAGGCUAGGGGUCAAAUCAGAGCUGUAGCCGCUGGCCUACGCCAUGAGCCACAUCUGCAACCUACACCACAGUUCAUGGCAAUGCUAGAUCCUUAACCCACUGAGGUAGGCCAGGAAUCGAACCCGCAUCCUCAUGGAUCCUAGUCGGUUCAUUAACAGCUGAGCCAUGAAGGGAAUUCCUAAUGCUUGUAUUUGAAAGGAGAAUCAUGUUGCCAUAAGAAGAGUUAUUAGCUCUCAAAUCAGGAAGGAGUCAGUCCCAGGCACUAACUGAUGUACAACACCAAUCAGUUUUAGCUCAGCUUCAGCUUUUCACAUCUGUAAAGGGAGAGUACUACCAUACAUAGUUGUCAGAAUUAAGAAUGUUAUACUUUUCAAAUAUAGGAAUGUAUGAACACUUAUUAUCAUGAUGCUUAUCUUCCUUGAUUUCAUCUCAGUGAAGUAAUUCUGUGUGAAGAUAUUAGCAAUCUAAUAUAAAUUAUAUAUUUUGGACUAUCCCACUUGGAUUGAUCCUAUGCAUUAUAUUUCUUUUAUUUUCCCCUUCUCACUACUUUAUAAAGUAAUUGACUUAUAAAAAAAUAUUAUAAUUUAUUAAAUGCAUAUUCAUUUGAAAUACAAAAAUGAAAAUGGCAAAAAAAACUAGAUAUAAUAGUCCUGUAACUCAACAAAUGCAAAACCUAAUGCAUUUUGAUCAAAUGUAGAAAUAAAGUGUAAAGCAAAAAAAAAGAGAAAAAUAGUUUAACUGUCUUCAUUGAUUAAUUUCUUUAUCAAAUAUUAAAAGAAUUUUAAAUAAGUUCUCUAGGUCAGAUUCUUGUAAGGGAAAAUAUGAAGAAUGAGAAAGAAAUUAUGAUUACUACAGCUUUUGACAGAGGUAGAACUUCAUAUAUUCUGGACAUGUAACAAGAAUUAAGUGUAUGAAUAUAAUUCAACGUAAUAGAGCCACAAUUAAAGUUCUGCCAACAAUUUAUGGCCUUGGGAAAAGCAACUGAUCAUUGAGUAAGAAUAAUUCUUAAUCACAUGAUGUGCGGCACAGCAGCUGCCUCACUCGCUUUAUUAGUCAAUGCGUUCCCAUGUCAAAGUACCAUUCUUACUACCUAGAAACUACUGUGGACAAUAAAUUGUUCAUAUUGCUCAUACCAAAUUUAGAUGGCCAAGGUUAAUAAAUAUCCUAUAUGGUUUUCAAAAAAUUAAUCUGGGAGUUCCCGCUGUGACACAAUGGGUUAAGAAUCCAGCUGCAGUGGCUUGGGUCAGUGCAGAGCUGCAGGGUUUGAUCCCCAACCUAGCACAGGGGAUAAAAGAAUCUGGCACUGGGAGUUCCCGCUGUGGCUCAGCAGUAACAAACCUGACUAGUAUCCAUGAGGAUGAGGGUUCGAUCCCUGGCCUUUCUCAGUGGGUUAAGGAUCCAGUGUUGCCAUGAGCUGUAGCAUGGGUCACAGAUGUGGCUCAGAUCCUGCUAUGGGUAGUCCAGUAGCUGCAUUUCCGAUUCAACCCCUAGGCUGGGAACUUUCAUGUGCUUCAGGUUCAGCCCUAAUAAGCAAAAAAAAAAAAGAGCGAGAGAGAGAGAAAAAAAAUCCGCAUUGGUCACAGCUGUGGCCAGAUUCAAAUUCUGGCCCAUGAACUUCCAUAUGCCACAGGUACAUCCAUAAAAGAAAAAAAAAUAAUCUGAAUACAAAUUCUACAGAUUUUUUUGUCAGAUGAUUACUAAUUUCAUAAAAGCUAGACAAGAUAUUAUAGGAAAGUCUGCUCUUAGGUACAAAUUCCACAAACUCCAGUGGAAUUUCCUAUUCUGUAUCUUUAGAACAUCGUGUUUCCAAUUGUCUCAGUAAUUAGUUCUAUGGGCUAGGUGUUCUUUCAGAACUUUCAUUACAAUUACAAUGAAAUUGUAAAUAGACCUAUGUUACAUCAAAACUAUCUAAUAUCCACUAAACAGCUGUGUUAUAAUAUUAGUUUUCAAAUUAGUUUAUACCUUAUGGCUGCCCAUUUACCUUUACAAGAAUAGCAAUAAGAGAAACGUGAUAAUUUUCUUUUUAAAGCAUUUUUUGUGCACUGAAUAUUGUACAAAACAUGAAAAAUGUCACAUCUUAAUGCUCAUUACAACCUCUAAGUAGGUGUAAUUAUGGACAAAAUCCUAAAACAUAGACUCUAAAUCUAUUCUGAGCAUUAUUUAACUUGAGGAAGCAUCAUUUUGAAAUAUUCAGGAAUGAGUUUUCUCAUUUAUGAAACAAAAAGUUUAAACUAGUUGCUGUCUAACAUCUUCCCAGAUCUAAGAGUCUGUGUCUUAUUGUUUCCUUAGAAUUGUCCAAGAAAAAGCAACAAUUUCGCCAUGAAAUAGGGGCCAGGUGAAGUGGUCUUUGUAACCCAUGUAUUCUAUAUAACCUGUGAGUGAUUAGAGAAUUUUCUCUAAAUAAUAACUUAGAUAUUAAUAUCUGACAAUAACAGAAUAUUUUUACAAGACCACUCUCUAGAUAGUAGAAAUGGCAAGUGUAGAAUUGGCAACCCUUGAUUUUGAAUAAUAUAGAGAAUGAGGAAAGGGAAGAGUCGAGGCCAGAACAAGUGGGUGAAUAGAAGUAACUUACUGACCUGGUGGACAUUGAGGUGGAGAACUUUUGAGAGGGACAGACUUGUUUUGGGCAUGUGCUAUUUGAUUAGGUGUAUUAGGUACUGGAUUAGGCACUUGCUUAAAUUAUGCAAUAUAUUGAGAUAAUAAAGUAUUUUAAGGCCUUAAAAUAUAUUGCCAAAUUAUCCUUUAAAAGGUUUGGACAAUUUAUCAUGUCUACAGGGAUAAGCACAAGACUGCCUGUUUUUCCAUAUGAUUAGUGCUAAUAUUUAAAAUAUACCAAGAUUUUUGCCAAUUUUUUUAGGUCAAAGAAAUGAUCUUGAAGGGGAAAAGCAGAUUAUCGGUUUAGAAAGCUUAAUCUGUGGCAUAAAUUUUAUCUGAAGAGGUCAUCAUAAUUGGCUAUAAAAGGGUAAAAUAAAUAGAAAUUAGAAGUCAUAAGUAGUAGCUAAUGUUUGGAUUGUAAAACAUACGUUGGGUCAAUUUGAGAUGAUUGUGAAAUUAAAAUUACCUAUCCAGAGUUCCCAUUGUAGCACAGUGGGUUCAGAAUCUGUCUGCAGUGGCUCAGGUCACUGUGGAGGCACAGGUUCAAUCCUUGGCCUGGCACAGUGGUUAAAGGAUCCCAUGUUGUCGCAGUUGAGGCAUAGGUCACAGCUAUAGCUGGAAUUCAGUCCUUGGCCUGGAAACUUCUAUAUGGCAUGGAUGUGGACAAAAAAAAAUUACCUAUCAGGGCAAGUAUUGGUAACUUGAUGUAUUAGUUAUCAAUUGCUGCUUAAUAAAUGACCAAAAGCACAGAGGCAUAAAAUAACAUAUAUUUAUUAUCUAUAUUCAUAUAUUAAGAAUCUAAAAGUGGCUUGGCUGGAUCAUAGGCAAAGGGUUUUACAAGACUGCAAUCAUGGUGUCAACCAAGCUCUGUUCUUUCAGGAGCUCAGCAACCAAAGAGUUGUUGGUAGAAUUCAAUUUCUUAUAGUUGAUAGGAUGAAUGGAGGAUGGAGCCUUUGACUUGAUUUGAUUUGAUUUGAUUUGUCUUUUGUCUUUUUAGGGCCGCACCUGCACAUAUGGAGGUUCCCAGGCUGGGGGGUCCAGUCAGAGCUAUAGCUGCUGGCCUACACCACAACCACAGCAACGUGGGAUCUGAGCCACGUCUGCAACCUACACCACAGCUCACAGCAACGCUGGAUCCUUAAACUGCUGAGAGAGGCCAGGGAUUUGACCUGCAUCUUUAUGGAUACCAAUAAGUUCGUUAAUUCGUUAACCACUGAGCCACGUCGGGAAUUCUAUUGUGUGUGUGUGUGUGUGUGUGUGUGUGUGUCGUUGCGGUGUAGGCCACAGACGUGGCUCAGAUCCCGAGUUGCUGUGACUGUGGUGUAAGCCAACAGCUGUAGCUCCCACUUGACCCCUAGCCUGGGAACUUCCAUAUGCUGCAGGUUCAGCC
rnacentral:lncRNA from 1 species